rnacentral:tRNA from 1 species
GGGGACGUAGCUCAGUUGGUUAGAGUAUUGGCUUGUCACGCCAAGGGUCACGGGUUCGAGCCCCGUCGUUCUCG